GACGAACGCUGGCGGCGUGCUUAACACAUGCAAGUCGAGCGGAAAGGCCCUUUCGGGGGUACUCGAGCGGCGAACGGGUGAGUAACACGUGAGUAAUCUGCCCUUGGCUUUGGGAUAACUACCGGAAACGGUGGCUAAUACCGGAUAUGACCAUGCUCGGCAUCGGGUGUGGUGGAAAGUUUUUUCGGCCAGGGAUGUGCUCGCGGCCUAUCAGCUUGUUGGUGGGUAAUGGCCUACCAAGGCUUCGACGGGUAGCCGGCCUGAGAGGGUGACCGGCCACACUGGGACUGAGACACGGCCCAGACUCCUACGGGAGGCAGCAGUGGGGAAUAUUGGACAAUGGGCGGAAGCCUGAUCCAGCAACGCCGCGUGAGGGAUGACGGCCUUCGGUUGUAACCGUCUUUCAGUACCGACGAAGCGCCGAUGAUGGUGGUGACGGUAGGUAC
rnacentral:rRNA from 1 species